rnacentral:ncRNA from 13 species
CGGAAAGUAGCUUAGCUUGGUAGAGCACUCGGUUUGGGACCGAGGGGUCGCAGGUUCGAAUCCUGUCUUUCCGA